CGGACGGGUGAGUAAUGUCUGGGAAACUGCCCGAUGGAGGGGGGUAACUACUGGAAACGGUAGCUAAUACCGCAUAAUGUCUGCGGACCAAAGCGGGGGACCUCCGGGCCUCGCGCCAUCAGAUGAACCCAUAUGGGAUUAGCUUGUAGGUAAGGUAACGGCUUACCUAGGCGACGAUCCCUAGCUGGUCUGAGAGGAUGAUCAGCCACACUGGGACUGAGACACGGCCCAG
rnacentral:rRNA from 1 species